rnacentral:rRNA from 1 species
AUGGGGAGAAAGCACAACUGCAAUCAUUUUGCUAAGGACAAACAAAAGAAGUUCUUCGGCCGCCUAAUCUCGCCCUUCUCAUUCCCUUCCUCCUAUUUCCAUGGUAGCAGAGAGAGACAAGAAUCACCCCCUCCUGCCGCCUCCAUCAUACAGCGACAAAAAGCCGAACACCAGUACAAGACUGAAGACUAUCCUACCUCUACUAUGAACAUGAGUAACCCGAGCUCCCCUCCCCCUCCCCCCCAACCCACCCACCCACCCAGACACACCCUCUUUCCCACUCCAAGCACCAGCGCCGCCGGUGAAAGAAAGAGGGUAGCCAGAGAUUCAAGUUUAGUGGCCAUAGGCAUAGAAGGCACCAGGAAACACGGACAGAUAACUGGAAUUAUAGAAUGCACUCACGCAUCGUCUCAAUCGUCAUGCAUCUCCUUCCUACUCUGCCACCUCACCAUGACUAUGGUAACUGCUGUGUGCUGUUUGUUUCUUGUUGCAGCAAUGGAUGAUGGGGACCUUGAUUUCUCCAAUCGGGAGAUGUAUAUGUGCUGCGCCACAUGCGCAGAGCUGCCCGGUGGCGAGUGCUCCAUGGACAACUACUUUGAGUUCGAUGACAUCCUCAAGGAGACGGGACACAUGAUAAUUUAUCCCAAAUGA